GCAACUUGCACUUUUGCAAAUGGGUGGUUCUCACAACACAUGAUCAAUUGUAUUAGACAACGUCUUAUGGUGAGAUUCCUAUCAGUAUUUCCCAAGCCUGGCGCAGAGAAUUUACUCAGAGCUGCCACUUCAAGGUUUGAAAAAUUAAAGAGGGAGUCCCUUAGGAAUGUCAUGAAGCUUGAUGGAGUAGAAUGCCAGCAACCUAAUUUAGGUUUGGAAGAGAAUGAAGAACUUGACAAUGCUGAAGAUGAAGAGGAGGAUG